ACUUAAAUUGAAGAGUUUGAUCAUGGCUCAGAUUGAACGCUGGCGGCAGGCCUAACACAUGCAAGUCGAGCGGUAGCACAGAGAGCUUGCUCUCGGGUGACGAGCGGCGGACGGGUGAGUAAUGUCUGGGAAACUGCCUGAUGGAGGGGGAUAACUACUGGAA
rnacentral:rRNA from 1 species